rnacentral:rRNA from 1 species
UAGGGAAUCUUCCGCAAUGGGCGAAAGCCUGACGGAGCAACGCCGCGUGAGUGAUGAAGGUCUUCGGAUCGUAAAACUCUGUUAUCAGGGAAGAACAAAUGUGUAAGUAACUGUGCACAUCUUGACGGUACCUGAUCAGAAAGCCACGGCUAACUACGUGCCAGCAGCCGCGGUAAUACGUAGGUGGCAAGCGUUAUCCGGAAUUAUUGGGCGUAAAGCGCGCGUAGGCGGUUUUUUAAGUCUGAUAUGAAAGCCCACGGCUCAACCGUGGAGGGUCAUUGGAAACUGGAAAACUUGAGUGCAGAAGAGGAAAGUGGAACUCCAUGUGUAGCGGUGAAAUGCGCAGAGAUAUGGAGGAACACCAGUGGCGAAGGCGACUUUCUGGUCUGUAACUGACGCUGAUGUGCGAAAGCGUGGGGAUCAAACAGGAUUAGAUACCCUGGUAGUCCACGCCGUAAACGAUGAGUGCUAAGUGUUAGGGGGUUUCCGCCCCUUAGUGCUGCAGCUAACGCAUUAAGCACUCCGCCUGGGGAGUACGACCGCAAGGUUG